GAACCGUUGAUUCGCACAA
rnacentral:snRNA from 1 species